GCCAGUAUGGUGUAGUGGUACGAAUGUUGGACUACAACUCUGGAGAUCUGGGUUCAAUUCCUGGCUCAGCCA